GAACAGCCCAACCGACCAAACAACCCCACUCCGCCCCAUUGGAUUCGAUGACUUACUUGGCUCCAGAUAUCACCUUGCCCCGCCCGACGAUCGUUCGCUUGCCGAUCGCUCGUCGUCGCACUCUCCGUCGCAUUCGUAGAUUAAUUUAGUUUUAUAAAAACGGAAUCGAGCGGAACAAUUAGAAGUAUUCUUGCGCUGACUGGCGCUGGUUGUGCUUGUGCUCAGAUCGAAUUCACAUUCAGGGAUCGCGAGCAUAUCCUGUACGCGAAAAGAAUUACCUCAGCAACGCAACAUUUUGUAUUGUUUUCCAAGCAGAUUGAACAAAGUUACUUCAUUAGCCGCGUAUAAGUGAAAAGGAUGUCCAAAUUAUAUAUCGUCGGUCUGGUCCUUGUGAGCUGGAGUUGCCUGGCAGCUCUCGCCCAGGCAAAGUCCUAUGGUUUUGAUCUCAGCACCGACAAUGAUAAUGCCAUUGCCAAUUACGAGGAUAAUGAUGACAAAUUUCCAAGUUGUGAAAUCUACUGCACGGGAAACCUAUUGCACACCAUCCAAACGGCCAACCCAAAACUAUUUUCUGAUUCCAAGACGUUUGUAGACAUGAAACUGAAUAACUCGCCCGAUAAGACCCUAGCGGAUUUUGAAGCUUUGAUGCAGGCUAAAAACCAGACACCCACUAGUGAAGAUCUUAAGAAGUUUGUUGACGAAUACUUUAGUCCCAAAGGCACCGAACUGGAAGCAUGGACGCCCACUGAUUGGAAGGAGAACCCCAGCUUCCUCGAUCUGAUUUCUGACCCCGAUCUAAAGCAGUGGGGCGCAGAACUGAAUAAUAUUUGGAAGAUUCUGGGACGUAAAAUGAAGGACGAAGUAUCGAAGAAUCCCGAGUACUACUCAAUCAUCCCCGUGCCCAAUCCGGUGAUCAUUCCCGGCGGUCGCUUUAUCGAGUUCUACUACUGGGACUCCUACUGGAUCAUCAGGGGACUCCUCUACAGCCAGAUGCAUACCACUGCUCGCGGCAUGAUCCAGAACUUCCUGUCCAUUGUGAAUCGGUUCGGUUUCAUCCCUAAUGGCGGACGAGUUUACUACCACGGUCGCUCCCAGCCGCCACUUCUUACCGGAAUGGUCAAGUCAUACGUGGACUUCACCAACGAUGACAAAUUCGCCAUUGAUGCAUUGGAUACAUUGGAGCACGAGUUCGAGUUCUUUACGAACAAUCACAGUGUCACGGUGAAAAAUCACACCCUGUGCGUCUACCGCGACUCGUCUGCGGGUCCACGUCCAGAGUCCUACAGAGAAGAUGUGGAGACGGGCGAGGAGUUCGCGACUGAGGAGGAAAAGGAGCUCCAUUGGAGUGAGCUCAAGGCGGCGGCCGAGUCGGGAAUGGACUUUAGCUCACGCUGGUUCAUCUCCAAAGACGGCACAAACGAUGGAAAUCUCACCAAUCUGGCCACCAGUUCCAUUGUACCCGUCGACCUGAAUGCCCUUCUCUACUGGAACGCCAAGUUGAUAGCCGAGUUCCACUCGAAAGCUGGUAACAUCAAGAAGGUGACCGAGUACGAGACUAAGGCCGAGAAGAUCCUUCAGGGCAUCCAAGAAGUUCUGUGGAACGAGGAGGCAGGUGUCUGGUUGGACUACGAUAUGAAGAACGAGAAGCCACGAGAUUACUUCGUGCCCACCAAUCUCUCACCGCUGUGGGUUAAGGCAUACAACAUUUCCGAGUCCGAAAAGAUUUCGGCUUCCAUUAUGGCCUACAUUGAGAAGAACAAGCUGGACACAUUCCCUGGCGGAGUUCCCAAUACUUUGAGCUACACCAAUGAGCAGUGGGAUGCGCCCAAUGUGUGGGCUCCGAUGCAGUACAUCCUGGUCGAGGGUCUGAAUAACCUAAACACUCCCGAGGCCAAGAAUAUGUCCAUGAAGUGGGCGACCAAGUGGGUGAAAUCCAACUUUAAGGCUUUUAGCAAGGACAGGCAUAUGUACGAGAAGUACAACGCCGAUCAGUUCGGAGUCGGAGGCGGCGGAGGCGAGUACGAGGUUCAGACAGGAUUCGGAUGGUCCAACGGGGUGAUCAUCGAGUGGCUCAGCAAGCACGGGCGCGACAUUUCAACCGGUGCAGCCGGCGGAGGCGGCGCAGCAGGUGAAGAGCAGCAGUAGAAUGAAUCUGCAGCCAGGCCAGAACGCAAAUCCAUCAGACAUCAUUGUCAGAAUCAUCACAGGCUCAAAGCCAAAGCUUUUUCUCGAAAAAUUGUAUUUAGAUAUUUGUACAUUACAUAAGCAUCCAUCCAGAAGCGCUCAUCAACUGCUCAUCGUUAGGCUAAGAAAAUGCUCUCUCUCUCUACGCAAUAUCUAUACCUAUACAAGCCGCUGUCUAUAACCUAUAUCUGUAACGCGAACCAUCGAAAUCCCGAGCCAAGCACUACGAACCACAGCACUACAACCACAGUCACAGCACCGCCAGGAAUCCGGAUCUCUGUACUGUCCAUCUUGUCCAUGUAUUCCACGUUCAGUCCACGUUUGCACAUUCGUGUGACUUGUCCAAAAUUCAAGCAAAAAUCGAAAAGAACAUUAAAUGUCUCAAAGCAGGCCGAGCAUCGCUAUCAAAAUGAGGAUUCACGACUACCCGGGUGAUGAGCGUUGUGGGCGUGGCAGCUGUGACCAUAGUAGCUCUGAUAGCAGGCCGUUUUCUAUGGUGAGACACUCUGUGCCAAACAACCCGUAAUUGCUUCCCGAGUUAUGUGAUUCCCCGUGUGUGUGCGUAGUGUCUGUUGUUGUUUACGUUUUUCGUUGAAUGCGGAGAUUGCAGUAUUAGAUUAUCAUUAUUUGGUAGUUGAAGUGAGAGUUGUACAUACUGAAUUUAUAUGGGCAUGCCCGACAUUGUUAUUACUUUUAAUAUCUAGCAAAUACCUAUACCAAUCCUAGCUCCUCGCAACCAAAUGAAGACACAAAUACAAUUGUUAACAAUAAUUUACAAACUAUUUGCGUAGUAUUUUUAAAUAAACAAGAACACAAAAUAUA